GUCUCUAUUAAAAAUAUACAAAUUACGUGCCCGAUCUCGUCUGAUCUCGGAAGCUAAGCAGGGUCGGGCCUGGUUAGUACUUGGACGGGAGACCGCUUGGGAAUACCAGGUGCUAUAGGCU
rnacentral:rRNA from 1 species